AUUGAACGCUGGCGGCAUGCUUUACACAUGCAAGUCGAGCGGCAGCGCGGGUUCGGGCAACUGAGCUCUGGCGGCGAGCGGCGGACGGGUGAGUAAUGCAUCGGAACGUAUCCUGUAGUGGGGGACAACCCAGCGAAAGCUGGGCUAAUACCGCAUACGCUCUCGAGGGGGAAAGUGGGGGACUCGCAAGGGCCUCGCGCUAGAGGAGCGGCCGAUGUCCGAUUAGCUGGUUGGUGAGGUAAAGGCUUACCAAGGCGACGAUCGGUAGCUGGUCUGAGAGGAUGAUCAGCCACACUGGGACUGAGACACGGCCCAGACUCCGUACGGGAGGCAGCA
rnacentral:rRNA from 1 species